CGGCGGCCGUGUAUACGAAAACCUUUGGAAACCUUGGCGAGGGUGGCCGGUUUGGAGUCUUGGUCAAAACUCUAGUCUAGUGGCCACUUGCGUUCGCCCGCGCCUCCCCACUCCCACUCACCCCUCUGCAGCGGAGAUCUGGAUCUGCAUCUGCAUCUGCAUCUCCCGUCGACUAACCCUAGCUAGCUCGCUACCUCAGAUCAGUUGGAGUGCGCGCGGCGGCCGCGGAGCAGAGCAGGCGACGCGACCGCUCUGGCUAGAUCCGAUCGAACCCCGCCCGUCCCGCUCGCCGCGCCCCUCCCCAGACGGCGGCGAUGAUGACGGAGGCAGCCGGCCGACUGACGGACUCGCCGCUCCUCGGGGCCAGCCCUCCCCUCCCCCGCGCCGGACCGCGCAUCGGCUUGGAGGCCCCUCGGGGCCGCCCCCGGUGCGGGAGCCGUCCGCGGCCGCGCGGCCUGGGGACCGAGCGGCGGGUUUCCCGCUCGAGGGCUUUCUCGGGCCGACGCGGGAUCUGAUCUGAGCCGCCGUCCAUGGAUUUCUUCGGAUUUGGUACUACUACCUCCGUCUGGUUUAUUGGUCCCCUGCAUACUCUCUCCCUCGGUGUGGACGCCAGCACCUGAACCCAAACCCUAACCCGAAUCAGGCGAGCGCUCGUGCCGGAUCGCUGAUCCAUCCUCCCGGUGGACGCCGCUUCAGUAUCACACCGCUACAGCCCCGUCAGCCACCGCCGCUCCAUUUUGGCUUGGAUUUGGUUGCGGCGUGGGCUGGGAACCAUACGGUGCUGUCUGAUGCGUGUUCCGCGCUGGGAGGUUUGGUCGGCUGACGCCAGAGAAAAUAGUGGCGGGGCGAUGAUGAAGAUUGUUGCUGAAAUAAUCAUGUCUUGAGCAAUCAAGACAGCCGUGGUGGUGGUGGUGGUGGGUACUAAGAGCAUCUACAGCCGGACUUGCUGACUGACCCAUCAUUUCGGUGGCCGCCCUCCCAGUUCCCGUCGCUAUGGUGCCGCCAGCCACCGACAUUCCAUUGCCUUGGAUCCGGUUGUGGCGUGGGCUGGGAACCGUACAGCUUGUCUGAGAGGUGUCCUUCGAGCGGGGAGCUUUGGUCGGUCGAGGCCAGGUAUGAGCAGCUCGUGAGACUGAUGGAUGGAUGGCCACCACGGAGGUGACACCAGGUGAAGGGUGGACUCCUUCUGGAUGUUGUAGUCGGUGAGGCUGCGGCCAUCGUCCAGCUGCUUGCCGGCAAAGAUCGGGCGCUGCUGGUCAGGGGGGAUGCCCUCCUUGUCCUUGAUCUUGGCCUUGACAUUGUCAAUGGUGUCAGAACUCUCAACCCCAGAGUGACGUAUGCAUGCAUGCAUGCAUGUGUGUACCAUGUUGCGGCCGAAAUCAGUGUUUUGACCCUUUUUGGAAAAGCUCAGCACGAAAUGAACCAUGUUGGAAACUUAUCUGGGGCGAUGAUGAUAAAACUUGGCUGACAUAAACUUUUCUUCGAUUAUUCGAGGAGCUGUGGGCAUCAAAAACCCACUCCCCCCUCUUUUAGAACCUUUUCAUUCUCACCGAAUAUUGACGGCUCUCUCUUGGAUGGUCAUUCUGUUGAGUGAUAACCAGAGGAGCUCGACUUCAAUGGUGGGGGUUGAUCUGGUGAAAGAAGAUGGUGGAGCUAGGUUGUAUGAUCUAUCAAAGGCGAAUCUGAGCCCUCUCAAAUCUCAAUGCAACUAAUAUUGUGCCCUCCACACAUUUAUUUAGUCCUAUCGCCUUUUUAUGUUUAAAAGUGAUGAAUUGUCAUGGUUGUGGCAUUUGCUAUCUCAUUAGGAGCAGCUACACACAAAUCACCUCUCGUGGUGUUUGGUUUGCCUUCUCAUGAAUUUGUUGUCCAUGGUGGGAACCGGUUUGGUGCAUUCGGCCUUUUUCUUUUCUGUUCUUUUCCUUGAAUGGUUGUGAUAAUUCUGCUGUCCCUUGGAUAGUUUUUUGAGAUUAUCUUAUUGGGUUCGGGGUCAGUUUCCUUGUUUCAAUUGCUAUUUGACUUCUGACAAUCUCAUUCUUCUACUAUACUCUUUAUCUACUUAUCAGUUUGUACUUUUGGUCACUCCUCACUUCUUUACUGGUUUCAACUUAACGGUCAUAUAGGGCAAGUUCAGAUGUCAAGAUUAUGGUUUCCUUCCUGUCAUGUUCAUGAAUGGCUGUGAUGAUAAUAGCCAUAUAGGGCAAGUUCAGAUGUCAAGAUUAUGGUUUCCUUCCUGUCAUGUUCAUGAAUGGCUGUGAUGAUAAUAGCUUCCCUGUGAGAUCAUCCCUGUGAGAGCUUCUAUCUAACACCUGAAUUGAUUCACUUGGUGCUAAACUAGGAUGGCUUGUGUGACAGCAAGUAACCAGUUUAGCGGCUAAAUAUUACUCCCUCCGUCCACAAAUAUAAUAUGUUCAUGGUCAUUCUACCAGAAGUUCAGUUAUGGUGUCCAGAUGGGGGUAUAUCUGAGCCAUUUUCUUAUGCAUGUCCCUGUUUUUGUGUCGCCAGAUAAUGAUUUGGUCCCGAUGUAGUGAUUCUUUCUGCUUUCACCGAUUCUUGUGUGGUUUCUGGUCAUAUUUGGUUCUUUGACAAUUGGCUUCUCCCUGUUAUUCUUUUUUUUGGGAUUGGCGGUAAGUGCAGUUGAUGGAGAUGACGAAUAAGGCUCAUUUAGCGGUGUACCGAGAUCAGAUACCAUCACUUGUUUUUGUGGUAUGGGUUAUGGUUACUGUUGGCAGUGAUGUACAUUCAAGUUGGCCAGUUGUCAAUAUUUUGUCUACUGUUGUCCAGCACAGCAACUGCUAACUGGCCUCAAAUUUGCUUUCUGCUGAUGAUCAUAUUAAUGCUUAUAGAAGCCCAUACGUGGAAAAUCACAAUAUUGUCAUACACCUGCAUUUACUUCUUAUAACCUCUUGUUGCGAAAAUACCAUACCACCUUCUAUAAAUGGGCCAACUCCGAGCCUCUUGCUAAAUAGAGCUACUUCUGAGUACAAAUGAUCGUUUCCUCAACAAAAUUUGAACUGAUCUUUUCCUGUUUGAGAAUUUUUAUUCUUGCUCACUGGCAUCCAUGUAUAGAUAAAAUAUAUGUUGAUAGUUCGGUUAUGAUAUUAGUUCUUUCGGUAAAAUCAUGUUCUGGUGGAUACAAAGGACUGUUUUGCAAGUUUAUAUUUUACCUAUUUCUUAACAUUUUGUUGGUUUUGCAGUAUGUCAACCAGUUCUGUUGUUUGAGAAAUAGUACUGCAGCUGCACUUAUUCUUGUCUUCUGUUCUUCCUUUUUCUUGAAUUGCUAUGCUGAUUCUGCUGUUCCUAAGUCCCUUGGAUAGUAUUUGAAACUAUCUUAUUUGGUGCUGGGUCAGUUUGCUUGUUUCAAUUGCUAUUUGACUCGAUAAUUUCAUUCUUUUCUACCCUACUCUUUAUCUACUUAUCAGUUUUUUCUUUUGGUUACUCUUUACUGGUUUCAAUUUAAGGGACGUAUAGGGCAAGUUCAGAUGUCAAGAUUACUGAUUCUUUCGUGUCAUGUUCAUGAAUGGCUGUGAUGAUAUAGCUUCCUUGCAAGAGCUUCUAUCCAACACCUGAAUUGAUUCAGUUGGUGCUAAACUAGGAUGGCUUGUGUCACAGAAAGUAACCAGUUUAGCGGCUAACUAUUACUCCCUCUGUUCACAAAAAUAAUAGGAGUAUGUCCAUAAGUCAUUCUACCAGAAGUUCAGUCAUGGUGUUGAGAUGGGGGUAUGUCUCAGCCAUUUACUUAUGCAUGUCCAAUUUUUGUGUCCACCAGAUCAUGAUUUGCUCCCGAUAUAGUGAUUCUUCCUGCUUUCAUUGAUUCUCUUUUGGUUUCUGGUCAUCUUUUGUUCUUUGACAAUUGGCUUCUCUCUGUUAUUCUUUUUGUGGGAUUGGCGCUAAGUGCUGUUGACGGCGAUGAUGAGUAAGGCUCAUUCAGAGGUGUACUGAGAUCAGGUACCAUUGCUUGUUUUUAUGGUAUGGGUUAGGGUUAGGGUUUUGUGUGACUGGAAGUGUGCAAAUCGGGACGGCUUGCUUUCUGUGAGCAACCAUUUGAAUGCUACUUCACAUGGGUUUAAGGGCAUGUCCAAACGCUGAUCACUAAACUUGUCGGUUACAGAGUGGGUUGCCCAUAUGAUAGACGAGCCAACUCUGAGUCUCCCAUAUUUUUUUAAUAAAUAUGACCUCUCUUUCUACAAUCUGUGGUUAUGUGCUUCAUCUAUAUUUCUGAAUAUUAUUGGUUUUUCUUCUCAAUAUGUUAAUGAUUUAUAGCAGUAUUGGGAUCUCACUGUAGUAUAUGUUAUCAUCUAGACACUUGGGAUAUACGCUCAUGGCGAACUGGAUGUUGAGCUAUUUUACACUUACAUGCUCAGAAUGUGCUUUGAAUUAGUGAUGCAUCAAUAGGUUCUACUUUGUUUGAAUAAAAAACAAUCCUGUGUGCCAAGGGCCCGGGAAGCAAGCAGAGAUUUUCACAUCUUUUGUUCAAACUAUGCUAUUAUUUUCAACUGUAUGUCCUUUGUUACUUGCAUAUGUUCUGUUUCUUUGCUCAGCAUUCCCCCAUUUAGUCGUUCCUGCAUUUUAUUUCGCGCAUGGUUAUUCUUCCUCUCAUACCUUGGUUGUGGUAUUGUAUAAAUUGUGCUACAUUGCUCUUUUUCAUUCAUGCAUUUUCUGAACUAUGGCACCUCAAGCAUCAGCAAUAAUACUAUUACAUUAUUGCUGAUGUUUCUCGAGCAUCAGCAAAGAAUAUACUACAUUUGGUCUUUGAUGUAUAUAGAUAGUUUUGAAUCUGCCCUUCUAUUUUUGGUACACAGUAUGUGCAACCUAAUCUGCAGCUCUCCCCCCUGUUUCUAUUUUUGCCUCUUAUUCUCUUCAGUGUAAAAGUUGUGUUAUGUUCCUCUUUUUCAUUCCUGCAACCUUUUAUUUAUGGUGAUGCCAAGUAGUACUACUAUAGUAAUUGGAUAUUCCCUUUUGCUCCUACGUGCAUAUGCACCCAUUGUCGAAAUACACAUUUCGAAAAGUUGAAAAAUGCGUUCUAUAGUAAUAUAUUGCGAUUGGACA